rnacentral:rRNA from 1 species
AUUGAACGCUGGCGGCAGGCCUAACACAUGCAAGUCGAGCGGAUGAAGGGAGCUUGCUCCUGGAUUCAGCGGCGGACGGGUGAGUAAUGCCUAGGAAUCUGCCUGGUAGUGGGGGAUAACGUCCGGAAACGGGCGCUAAUACCGCAUACGUCCUGAGGGAGAAAGUGGGGGAUCUUCGGACCUCACGCUAUCAGAUGAGCCUAGGUCGGAUUAGCUAGUUGGUGGGGUAAAGGCCUACCAAGGCGACGCUCCGUAACUGGUCUGAGAGGAUGAUCAGUCACACUGGAACUGAGACACGGUCCAGACUCCUACGGGAGGCAGCAGUGGGGAAUAUUGGACAAUGGGCGAAAGCCUGAUCCAGCCAUGCCGCGUGUGCGAAGAAGGUCUUCGGAUUGUAAAGCACUUUAAGUUGGGAGGAAGGGCAGUAAGUUAAUACCUUGCUGUUUUGACGUUACCAACAGAAUAAGCACCGGCUAACUUCGUG